rnacentral:rRNA from 1 species
CCUACGGGUGGCUGCAGUGAGGAAUAUUGGUCAAUGGGCGCGAGCCUGAACCAGCCAAGUAGCGUGAAGGAUGACUGCCCUACGGGUUGUAAACUUCUUUUAUAAAGGAAUAAAGUGAGGCACUUGUGCCUUUUUGAGCGUCCUUUAUGAAUAAGGCUCCGCUAACUCCGAGCCAGCAGCCGCGGUAAUACGGCGGAUCCGAGCGUUAUCCGGAUUUAUUGGGUUUAAGGGGAGCGUAGAUGGGUGGUUAAGUCAGUUGUGAAAGUUUACGGCUCAACCGUAAAAGUGCAAUUGAUACUGGCAGCCUUGAGUACAGUUGAGGCAGGCGGAAUUCGGGGUGUAGCGGUGAAAUGCUUAGAUAUCACGAAGAACACCGAUUGCGAAGGCAGCUUACUAAACAGCCACUGACAUUGAUGCUCGAAAGUGUGGGUAUCAAACAGGAUUAGAUACCCCAGUAGUC